AGGCAGCUGAUCCACAAACAGACUUGUGCGAUAAUUAUAAUGUGGAUUUUGAAGCUCAUAUAAAAAGCGUCCGUCCUGGUGAACAUGGAUGAAUCCUGGCUCCAGAUCAGGUCUGGUCCACUCCACCCUCAUGGACUCAGCACUCAGUGUUGUUUGUUUCUCAUUCUGUCAGUAAAAUCUCAUCACUGUCACAUGACACCAAAUCAAUGGAAAUUGAUUUUUAAUUAAUGCAGGAAGAAAACUUAAUUAAAUUUAACUUAACAGAAAUGUUUUCUCUUUCAUAGUGAAAUAUGACAGACUUGCCGAGUAAAAGCAGCUGAUAAUGUGAAGAAAGGAAGUUUGGCUACAAGUAGUGUCAA